GUAAAGAUUUCAGGAAGGGUAUGGCUCUUUCUCACCCUCAUUUUUUUCUUUCUUUUCAGAGAAACCCCAAAAGUUUGCUCCUGGGUCCCUCCUUUAAACGCCCAAUUGCUUCUUUAGUUGCAGAAAAAGCAGAAAGAAGAGAAGGGAGAACAAAGGCUCAGAAGACUGAAACUAAGCCAGAUGGUUAAUUCAAAUAUGAAGGGCAAAAGGGAGCCCAAAAGGCCAUUUGGGGAUCAUUUUAGGGCUCCUAAGACUGAGGAAAUCAGAUGGUACCACUUUAAGUAUCGGACUAUGAAUGAGUCAUUGGAGAGCCACUUUUUGGCCAAAUGUUUGUGAAGUCCCCCAACUGUGUGUGCAGCCGCUCACACACGCUGGCUCUGGAGACGGGGCUGUGCCGGCCUCGGAUGGUGUGUGGCUUGUGAAAGAAGGACCCGGUACUACACCAGCUACAGACAAGCAUACAGCAUGCAGCAACAGGCCAUCUACAAGUGCUGGCCUGGUUGGAGCCCACAGGACAAUGAACCUGGAUGCCUACACUGUCCUCUUUUUUGUCUUUUUAUUCCUGUGGGUCUGUCGUGUUACCCAUCCGUGAGCCUCCACCGCAUCCAUCUGAAGACUGAGCAGAGCCCUUUGGACAUGGUGAUCUGGGGUUGGCAGAGUGGGAAGAUCUGUAAUUUAUUUCCAGCAAACAUCAGGCUAUGGAGACCUCAGGUCCAGUGUGCAGUGAUGGGUGUUCACUUGUGAAUUGGAGCAUUCUUCUUAAGACUUCAAGGUCUGAGCAGUGCACCUGAUUCAUUGUUUUUGUAUUUUGACAGGCUGGGGAUAGGAAGUGGAAGGGAGAGAGUAUUCCAGGUAUUCAGGGAGUGAGAAGUAACAGUAGCCAGACAGACAAGUCAUGAACACAUAAAACAAAUAAGCACCAAAGCCUGAAUUACUAAUAUAAAGCAACAAGAGAAGCCACAUUUUAAAGCAGAUCAUAAUUAAUAAAAUAAUUUAUACAGAUAGUUAUUAAAGAUGU
rnacentral:lncRNA from 1 species